rnacentral:lncRNA from 1 species
UCCCUCCUCAUGUCCUGUCCUCUACUUCUUCUGGGUGCUUCAGAUCAUCCUGAUAAUUAAAAUAAUCAAACAUAAGAAAGCAUACAAAAUAAUCAAAUAUUAUAAUGUACAAGUAAUAAAUAAAUUAGAACUAUUUCAUCCUCCAACAAUGGUAGUGUAUUGACCUCUGACUAUGCGUAUGUUUGCAAGCUUACACAUCGAAUCUAAACUUAUAUCAAUUAAUGAAAGCUGAAAUGUUUCUGGGAUAAUAGGCAUCACAACAAAAGCAAAUUCGACAAAGUUUCCUUACAAAACCAACAAAGUUCAGUAUAAGCAAAUUGGACAAAGUUUCCUUACAAAACCAACAAAGUUCUGUAUAGCCAUAUCCUUAGCCCACAAGUAACAUUCAGGCUUCAGUGCGAUAUUAGAGAUCACAAGAGCAUUAGCUUAAUGCACAAAUGAGAUAUACAUAUUAGAUACAUCACGUGGAUUUUAAUUAUCAAGAUCGAUUAGAAGACCGUAGAAGAUUUCUAAUAAAAAACCAGCAAGUACAUAAAACCAGCACAACCACGUCCAUUAAAAAAUCAAUCAUAAUAGGUAAAACAAUUUUUCAAGUAUUAGGAUAUACUCUACUAUUUAAUUUGAUACAUGAUAGAUACAUUCUGAAUGAAGUAUAAGAUUGUACUUAAUAAUAAAGUUAAGGAAGGACUAUUUUCCAAUGCACUAAAAAGGAAUGCAGAUUAUGUAGAUGAGAAAAAUAACAUAUCUAGCAAAGAGUAGUGUGUAGAAUAAUAUUUCAAAACACUAGGUACCACUUCUGAUAAUAUAAGUUUAUAUAAUAUUUUCUCAAAGGAAAUUCAAGGAGAUGGCUUUGUAGCAUUAUAAUAGCAUGUUACUAAAAUGUGCCUAAUUUUGGUACUGGUCCAAGGGUGGACAUAAACUUUGUUGUUCUGGCUAGGAAGGUUCAAUCGAUAGAAAUAUAUUAGUAUUUCCAUGCACACAUCAUAUGUGUCCAAAAAAGUUGAUAUUAUUUGCCAAAAUUCCAUUGUAGUUGUAAAUUUCGUUGCAACGAAAUCUGUUGUUUCUGAUUCUUAAUCUAAGAGUUACUGCAAUACUUAAAUUUAAAUAUACACAUCUCUAAUAUUUGGGUCAAAUUGGACAUCAUUUCAAAUAUAUGCAGGGUGGCACUUUGUAUCAAUUCUAGAAUGAUAUAUAAAAUAUUUUAGUAUAGAACUUAGCAUGUGCAGCACGUUCUACCAUAAUAUAGAUUGUAUAGUUUUUAUUUGUACAUAUAUUUGAUUUCUCUUUAAAAAUGAAUGUGAAAAAUUACAUGAAUUGCACAAUAAUUUUAAGAUACACAAUUCUCUAGCCCAUGUUGAUGCACGGGUUGAUGACUAGUAUACCUAAUUGAGUUACAUUGGAUAUGAAAUGGAACUGCAUACUUCUAUAUCAUACUACACACAGCAAACUUGCAACCGGGACACUCACCCGGUUAUAGACGAGGCCGGCCGUCACUACUGCCCAAUGUUUGUUGAGGCAUCUUUGCAUGCCCUUUCUGCCAUGUAGUAAAACUACUGCUGCUUGUAUACGCGGACACCACCACUGGCAAGGAAGCACGACGAGGCCACAAUGGAUGGAAUCAUAGCGAAUCCAAAGGGAGUUGUGAGGAAGGAAAGGAUAUCAAAAAUCAAGCCACGACAAUAGGUACAAAGAAAGUAGUACCUUCGGAACACAAGGAAUCAUACACUAAAUAAUGCAAGGGUUGAUACAUUAGAUAAUGGAAACAAUUGUAGCCAUAUACUUUACUUCUAAAGAGCACAAAUACGAUGUCACAGACAUGGCAGCAUGCUUACAGGGACACCUUCACUCUCACCCAUCGGAUGAUUAGCUACCAGCAAUUAAACACAAAAAAUGAGAAAGAAAAGCAGCCCUCCAGGUUGUCCACCUUCACUCUCACCCAUCAGAUGAUUAGCUACAGCAGUGGCACCGCUCUCAGAUGCAAUUUUCCCUAACAUGAAGCACCAUGCAUUCAAUCAGCAGCGACAAGCCAACAAUAAUCAAGCAGCACACAUGAACACCAAGAUUCAAUCAAUGGCAGUAGCACAUGAACAACAUACAGAAGCAUAUGGCGAGCAGCAACUACAAGGGCAUGGCUAUUGGCUAACAGGGGAUGCAAGCAGUAGCAGUUCAAUAAUAAAUCUAAGCAAAUAGAAGUCUAGGUUACCUGCUCCAGCUUGCUUGCCAUUGGAAGGAGAUGCUGCUGCACUUGUGGGACGACAGCGGUCAGGUCCAAGCACCGGCCGUGACACCUUACGACAGUGGCGCUCAGGUCCAGAAGCUGGGAAAGGAUAAGGGAAACCCAAUUUCAUGGCUUCAAACUGGUCGAGGAGGUCUCCUUUUGUGCACCAGUGGAUGUGAGCUGCAAAAUCAGGCUUGGGCCGACCCUUAAAGAAUCUGCACACAAAAAUGAAUCCAUCUGCAGUUUGUUUAACCAGGUUUGUACUCGGACAAAAACAAAUGUUGUGCUACUCUGUGUGCUCCUCCCUAAGAAUGUACCAUGGAACAUUACGCAUGCAUCCAUUGCAGACCAGAAGCAUCGUUUAUGAGAGGAAAUAUAGCAGGUACUUCACCACACACAAAUCCAAAGUAAAAAACUGCAAGAUAGCAAAUAGCAAUUGCAUAUGAUAAUACUAUCACGAACAGUAGCUUCCUAGGUAUACCGAUCUGAUCCAGUGUGGAGUAGAUUCUCAAUUCGUGCAUCUUUCUAUAGGAGUAGGAUGAGGAGGAGAUAGAAGUACCUGUUGAUGCCGGGAAG